GGUUAAGCGACUAAGCGUACACGGUGGAUGCCCUGGCAGUCAGAGGCGAUGAAGGACGUGCUAAUCUGCGAUAAGCGUCGGUAAGGUGAUAUGAACCGUUAUAACCGGCGAUUUCCGAAUGGGGAAACCCAGUGUGAUUCGUCACACUAUCAUUAACUGAAUCCAUAGGUUAAUGAGGCGAACCGGGGGAACUGAAACAUCUAAGUACCCCGAGGAAAAGAAAUCAACCGAGAUUCCCCCAGUAGCGGCGAGCGAACGGGGAGCAGCCCAGAGCCUGAAUCAGUGUGUGUGUUAGUGGAAGCGUCUGGAAAGGCGCGCGAUACAGGGUGACAGCCCCGUACACAAAAAUGCACAUGCUGUGAGCUCGAUGAGUAGGGCGGGACACGUGGUAUCCUGUCUGAAUAUGGGGGGACCAUCCUCCAAGGCUAAAUACUCCUGACUGACCGAUAGUGAACCAGUACCGUGAGGGAAAGGCGAAAAGAACCCCGGCGAGGGGAGUGAAAAAGAACCUGAAACCGUGUACGUACAAGCAGUGGGAGCACGCUUAGGCGUGUGACUGCGUACCUUUUGUAUAAUGGGUCAGCGACUUAUAUUCUGUAGCAAGGUUAACCGAAUAGGGGAGCCGAAGGGAAACCGAGUCUUAACUGGGCGUUAAGUUGCAGGGUAUAGACCCGAAACCCGGUGAUCUAGCCAUGGGCAGGUUGAAGGUUGGGUAACACUAACUGGAGGACCGAACCGACUAAUGUUGAAAAAUUAGCGGAUGACUUGUGGCUGGGGGUGAAAGGCCAAUCAAACCGGGAGAUAGCUGGUUCUCCCCGAAAGCUAUUUAGGUAGCGCCUCGUGAAUUCAUCUCCGGGGGGUAGAGCACUGUUUCGGCAAGGGGGUCAUCCCGACUUACCAACCCGAUGCAAACUGCGAAUACCGGAGAAUGUUAUCACGGGAGACACACGGCGGGUGCUAACGUCCGUCGUGAAGAGGGAAACAACCCAGACCGCCAGCUAAGGUCCCAAAGUCAUGGUUAAGUGGGAAACGAUGUGGGAAGGCCCAGACAGCCAGGAUGUUGGCUUAGAAGCAGCCAUCAUUUAAAGAAAGCGUAAUAGCUCACUGGUCGAGUCGGCCUGCGCGGAAGAUGUAACGGGGCUAAACCAUGCACCGAAGCUGCGGCAGCGACGCUUAUGCGUUGUUGGGUAGGGGAGCGUUCUGUAAGCCUGUGAAGGUGUGCUGUGAGGCAUGCUGGAGGUAUCAGAAGUGCGAAUGCUGACAUAAGUAACGAUAAAGCGGGUGAAAAGCCCGCUCGCCGGAAGACCAAGGGUUCCUGUCCAACGUUAAUCGGGGCAGGGUGAGUCGACCCCUAAGGCGAGGCCGAAAGGCGUAGUCGAUGGGAAACAGGUUAAUAUUCCUGUACUUGGUGUUACUGCGAAGGGGGGACGGAGAAGGCUAUGUUGGCCGGGCGACGGUUGUCCCGGUUUAAGCGUGUAGGCUGGUUUUCCAGGCAAAUCCGGAAAAUCAAGGCUGAGGCGUGAUGACGAGGCACUACGGUGCUGAAGCAACAAAUGCCCUGCUUCCGGGAAAAGCCUCUAAGCAUCAGGUAACAUCAAAUCGUACCCCAAACCGACACAGGUGGUCAGGUAGAGAAUACCAAGGCGCUUGAGAGAACUCGGGUGAAGGAACUAGGCAAAAUGGUGCCGUAACUUCGGGAGAAGGCACGCUGAUAUGUAGGUGAAGUCCCUCGCGGAUGGAGCUGAAAUCAGUCGAAGAUACCAGCUGGCUGCAACUGUUUAUUAAAAACACAGCACUGUGCAAACACGAAAGUGGACGUAUACGGUGUGACGCCUGCCCGGUGCCGGAAGGUUAAUUGAUGGGGUCAGCGCAAGCGAAGCUCUUGAUCGAAGCCCCGGUAAACGGCGGCCGUAACUAUAACGGUCCUAAGGUAGCGAAAUUCCUUGUCGGGUAAGUUCCGACCUGCACGAAUGGCGUAAUGAUGGCCAGGCUGUCUCCACCCGAGACUCAGUGAAAUUGAACUCGCUGUGAAGAUGCAGUGUACCCGCGGCAAGACGGAAAGACCCCGUGAACCUUUACUAUAGCUUGACACUGAACAUUGAGCCUUGAUGUGUAGGAUAGGUGGGAGGCUUUGAAGUGUGGACGCCAGUCUGCAUGGAGCCGACCUUGAAAUACCACCCUUUAAUGUUUGAUGUUCUAACGUUGACCCGUAAUCCGGGUUGCGGACAGUGUCUGGUGGGUAGUUUGACUGGGGCGGUCUCCUCCUAAAGAGUAACGGAGGAGCACGAAGGUUGGCUAAUCCUGGUCGGACAUCAGGAGGUUAGUGCAAUGGCAUAAGCCAGCUUGACUGCGAGCGUGACGGCGCGAGCAGGUGCGAAAGCAGGUCAUAGUGAUCCGGUGGUUCUGAAUGGAAGGGCCAUCGCUCAACGGAUAAAAGGUACUCCGGGGAUAACAGGCUGAUACCGCCCAAGAGUUCAUAUCGACGGCGGUGUUUGGCACCUCGAUGUCGGCUCAUCACAUCCUGGGGCUGAAGUAGGUCCCAAGGGUAUGGCUGUUCGCCAUUUAAAGUGGUACGCGAGCUGGGUUUAGAACGUCGUGAGACAGUUCGGUCCCUAUCUGCCGUGGGCGCUGGAGAACUGAGGGGGGCUGCUCCUAGUACGAGAGGACCGGAGUGGACGCAUCACUGGUGUUCGGGUUGUCAUGCCAAUGGCACUGCCCGGUAGCUAAAUGCGGAAGAGAUAAGUGCUGAAAGCAUCUAAGCACGAAACUUGCCCCGAGAUGAGUUCUCCCUGACUCCUUGAGAGUCCUGAAGGAACGUUGAAGACGACGACGUUGAUAGGCCGGGUGUGUAAGCGCAGCGAUGCGUUGAGCUAACCGGUACUAAUGAACCGUGAGGCUUAACCUU
rnacentral:rRNA from 1 species